rnacentral:rRNA from 1 species
CAUAAGAAGACAACACAUGAAGAUUUCAAAGAUCAAAGGUUACUUGAUUGGGUCAAAGAAAGGUGCCCGGAAGUUAAACUUGCAUUUGAUGAGCUAUGUCCUAAAAAUGCCAAAAUGACUUCAGGAACCAUGCAAAAAGAACUUGCUAAAUAUUGUGCAAUGGCGGUCACCAACGCAAUCAAAGAAGAGAUGGAUGGUUGCCUUUUCACUGUUCUUAUUGAUGAGUGCCGUGAUAUUUCAGUGAAAGAGCAAAUGGCUGUGGUUGUCAGGUUUUUGAGCAAAAAAGGAGAGAUCAUUGAAAGAUUUUUGGGUAUUAAGCAUGUCCCAGACACAACAUCAGCAUCUUUGAAGAAGGCUCUGUUGGAGGUUUUUGGUACACAUGGUUUGCUUGUUGCAAAACUGCGAGGGCAAGGGUAUGAUGGUGCAUCUAAUAUGAGAGGAGAAUUCAACGGCCUUCAAAAGUUAAUCCGUGAUGAGAAUCCUUAUGCUUUCUAUAUUCACUGCUUUGCCCACCAACUACAAUUGGUAGUUGUUGCUGUUUCGAGAUGUUACAAGGGUGUUGAGGAUUUUUUUGAGUAUGUGACCAUGAUUGUCAAUGUCAGUGGUUCAUCUUGCAGGAGGAAGGAUAAAUUGCUUGAUAAGCAAAAGCAGAUUCUUUUGGAUAAGAUUGAGAGGGGUGAGAUGCCCACGGGAAGAGGGAAAAAUCAAGCAACCUCAUUGGUCAGACCUGGAGAUACACGUUGGGGCUCUCAUUACACAACUUUAUCUCGCAUUGAAUCAAUGUGGGAUGCAGUGAUAGAAGUUUUGCGCAUUGUUGAGGAGGAUGUGCGUGUUCCAUGUAGGGCAGGAGGUUUGGUUCAUCAAAUGGAGACUUUCAGCUUUGUGUUCAUCCUAAAGAUGAUGUUAAAAAUCCUUCGUAUGACGAAUGAUCUAUCUCUUCUAUUGCAAAAGAAGGAUCAAAAUGUUGUUCAGGCUAUGUCAUUGGUUACGGAUGUGAGAACACGUUUGAUCAAUUGGAGAAAUGAUGGUUGGGAGCCACUCUUGGAAGAUGUCAAAGCAUUCUGCACGAAAAAUGAAAUUCCAAUACCAAGUAUGGAUGACACCUUUACAAAAUGGGGGAAAUCAAGAAAAGGUGGAAGAAACAAUGUAACUGCUGAUCAUUUUUUCCGUGUGGACACCUUCUAUGUUGCUAUAGACUCCAUCAUCACGGAGUUUGAUCAUUGUUUUAAUGAGCUA